rnacentral:lncRNA from 12 species
UGAGAACACAGUAAAGUUCAAAGUAAGAAACUGAGAGCAAGAAACAACCACUCAAACCAAGUGACUUCUGGUAAUUUAAGAUUUUCCUGUUUUUACAUGCAGUUGUGUUCUCUGUAAGACCAUUCAGAACUGAAGCAUUUGAGAAGGGUUUGACGUGAACAAGAGUUCCAGUUCAACCCUGGAAAGACUGACCUGGCUCCAACUCUUGAGGUUUCCAAUCACAACAUGGUGAUGUCUGUGUUGAACACAAGGGUGACUGUGCCUUAGCUUCCCAUAGGAGAACUGGCAGAACCUUGUAGCAAGUCUGGGAACACACGUGUUGGCUCCAAGCAGCAAACAAUUCAGCUGCCAGGAGAGCAGUGCAGUCCCACAGAACCUCAGGAAGAGCCUGCUGUUGUUGAUGGCAGCUGUCCCAGCUUCACUCCGUAGGCAUGUGAUACUCCUGAAAGCACGGGGGCUUCAUCUGCCGGGCCAGGUUUACUGACACUCAGCAACUCAGGAA